rnacentral:rRNA from 1 species
UACGUAGGGUGCGAGCGUUGUCCGGAAUUACUGGGCGUAAAGAGCUCGUAGGUGGUUUGUCGCGUUGUCCGUGAAAACUCACAACUCAAUUGUGGGCGUGCGGGCGAUACGGGCAGACUGGAGUACUGCAGGGGGAGACUGGAAUUCCUGGUGUAGCGGUGGAAUGCGCAGAUAUCAGGAGGAACACCGGUGGCGAAGGCGGGUCUCUGGGCAGUAACUGACGCUGAGGAGCGAAAGCUAGGGGAGCAAACAGG